rnacentral:rRNA from 1 species
CCUGGUGUCUAUGGCGGUGUGGACCCACCCUCAUCCAUCCCGAACUGAGGAGUGAAACGCACCUGCGGCGAAGAUAGUUGGACGGCUGCGUCCUGCCAAAAUAGCUCGAUGCCAGGU